GAUUGCUGCUCAGUUUCUUGCAGAGGUACUGUACCGUGGAGAGGUAUUCGAAACUGUUGAUGGCGUUGACGAAGAAGGUUUUGGAGACUAGAGGUGAGGAUAUUAACGGUAAAGAGGAGUUUAAAGGGAUUCUGAGGAACCUGAAGAGGGAGGUGAAUCAGGAGAUUAAGAUUCAACAGUCUCUGUUGGAGAUUCAGGGUGUUAUUGCUCCUUUGAUGAGAAUUGCUGGGAGAUGAUUAAUCAAAUGUAAGCUUUUUGGAUGCUUUGUUUUAUUGUAAUGCUAUUAUUCUAGAUUAUAUUUCAAGUUUUGUUUUAUUUCAAUUGCUGGGAGAUGAUGAAAGAAUCAAUGCAAGUUUUGUUUGCUUCUUUUGCUUUGUUUUUAUGUUAAUGCUGCUGCUACUCAGUUUUUAACUAUUUAUUCACGGUUUACACAAAUUCUAUAAUGAAAUUCUACAAAACUAAACAUGGGAACAAAUGAAUCUCUUUGGAAAUGAGAAACAAUUAGAGAAAAAAUAUUAUAUACUUUGGUAAAUGUAAGUGAUCAAAAAUGUCAAAUUGUGAGAAUCAUCAUCUGAAAUUUAUAUAACUCAAGAAUUCUCUUUUGUAACGAUUUUAUAUCCUUGAUUUGUAAUGGUCAAUCGAAUAACAAAUCAAAGGUUUGAGUUUAUUUAAAAGACAAUACUUGACAAAUGGUCUGAUAUUAUAAAGAAGAAAGGUAAGUCUGAUGAGGCCUCUAGCACAUUCCUGAAUGUGAACAAUCAGAUGAGACCUUGACGUUUAAGAUCAGAGUAAGUCUUCUUGUUGUAAACGUUACCAUCACCAUCUUCAUAUUCUUCUUCAACCUCUGGCUUCCAUUUGUUAACUCCUUGCCUCUCCUGUAUCCUCUUCCACAGUUCUUUCGCUUCCUGCAACAAAUCACAAGAUCAAAAUUACCAAAACUAUUGCUUUAAACUAAAUCAAAGUCUUCUUCUUUUGAUAAUAAUAACAAUGUAUACCUUAAUAGAAGUGAUCUCGUUGAAGUUCUUUGUGUUUGGGAUCCCCAAGCAACGCAUUCCAUCUUGGUGUUGAGGCUCUUUAAAAUGUCUCUCAAAAGCCCUUCUCCCCUUGUAGAUUUUGUUUCUACAUAUCUCGCAUUCAAAUUUCUACACCAAAAUAACAACACACAAAUUUUGAGUAGUCCCAUAUAAGUAUUAUUAUAACAUUGAUGGUCUAAUAAACUCGACUACAUACCUGGCCAAGGCCAUGAAGCUUGUAGAGCCAGUAUGGUAUAGGCUUCCCGUCCACACCCAUUGGCAGGUUCAGUGGAUUGUGAAAGGCACCUUCCUCCUCUUCAUCACUUUCUAUCUCUGCCCGUCCUUCCUCCCCCUUGCGUUCUUCCUCCAUCUCUUCAUACGUCAUGGCCUGCUUCUUUACAAUGUUUUGCUUAGUCCUUUCGAUUGCCUAUUCAAAAUUUCAGACAACAAACAAAGUUAAAAUGUCAGCUCUUAGGGAGAAAACAAUAGAUGUAUCAAAGAGGUACUUCCACGAACUAACCUCAUCAAGUAAGUUGCAGAGCUUCUUCACUUUGGCCUCUGUUAGUGCAAUCUGUUUAGCACUGUCUGGCUCCUGCGUUGCUUUGGCAUCUCCAUUUUGUCUCCCUUUGUGCAGAGGUUUGGCAAAAUGUUUCUUAUCCAGCUUUUCCAGAGGCGAAUGCUGAACAUAAACAGAAUCAAUAAAUGGCAUAAGAUAACAUCAACUUGAUAACAAGACAGAGCUACUAAUCAGUACAACGCAAAACUAAAUAAAAACAAUGCGUUUCUAGGAGAUCAAGACAAGUGUACGAACCUUUGUGAGGAAAAGUCUCUCGGCACGCUGCUGCAGUGUACCACCAACUUUAAGUCCCAAAGACCCCAGCGCCUGAAUCACAUAAAACACAUAAUUAGAGGAAUAAUUCUUCAGUGAUCAUAAAAAACAUGAAGCAUGGUCAUUACCUCCUUCAGCUUUUCAGGUCCCACACCAGUCAAUUCAUCAGCUGUGGUGUAGUAACCAAGAUCUAUGACAGUAUGCUCAGAUGGAACAAGUUUACUUUCCUGGCCGUGGCUCUCCCAGCCUAUCACUUUUCCAUCUGCAAAUUGCUCUUCAAAAUCAACCUCAACCUGUAAGAAACCAACGUAUUAAUUGCAAGAGAUCAAACUGCAUAAAACAAUAAAGAGAGGGAGGAGAGUUUAAACCUUGGAAAGCAUUCUGUCAAGGUCUUGCAACGGCUCAGUUCGGUGGAGAAAGUUGACCAAGUACUCUAGCAGAGCUUCCAUGUACUUCAUGUAUUGCCUAAAAGGACAACAAGGAAAGCCAUUAACAUACAGGUACUAGAAACAAAUAUGGAGGCUUUUUAAGUAUAUAACAAAAUUUCAAUGUAAUGUUUACCUUGAAAACUUCAGUCUGCGAGGUACUUUCUCUGGAUGAGAAAAGACAUCGAGGUAAACAGAAUAUUCAACCCUGUCCCCGAAUUUAGAGUUGAUGUACUGGUUAUACAUAUCAUGCAAGUCCAAGUACCGACCAGCUCCUUCCUGCACAGUACACAAAGAAGAUUUAAACAAUUUUAGAAAUUCUAUAAACUACCAUGAAGCUAGUAAUGUUAAAAAAAAAAAAACGGACUAAUAAUGCUCUGUUAAAAUGUUUCAAGAAUAAGAAGUCAAACAGAAAAAUUACCUCUCCACUGAAGGAAAUAACUGGUUUCGCCUUCAGAAGUGCUUCGUAGUCCGCGCUGGCAUCAACAAGAGGUCCAGGAGGAUACUUUCUAUGGUACUCACGUAUCUGUAAGAAGGUAAAAAAGAUAGGGGUUAAUUAGUUGCAUAUCUGAUAGAAUAAAUACCAAGGAUUCAGUUGAUAAACAAUCUAUUCAAGAAGACCUCUACGAAACAUCAAAACUAGAAAUUUGAAUCUUAUUCAGGGUUUGCACUCUACUUCGCUGAAAUAUAUGAACAUGGUUCUUAACUCUCUAUGACCAGUGGAUUAAGAUAAUCAAUGAAAUUAUAAUUAACAGGUUGCUAAAUCUCUCAUUCUCGAUUAACCGAUACUAUUCAAAAUUCAGCUACUCUAUUUUAGAAACAAACAAUGGUAACUUUUGAGAAAUAAAAAUAAAAAAGGCAAAAGGGAUAGAAAGCAAAACCUCUUUCAAACGAUCAUAAAACGCACAGUACACAUUAACCCCUGACGCAGUCCGGCCACCAAGCGCAGCAAUCUCAUCUUCCCUAGCUCCAUCCUUAUCUUCAUAAGUUUCAACCUUUACAGCCAACACAAGAAUCAACGUUAGCUUUAAUAUCUAAAGAUACGAAACUACACAGUCAUUAAAAAAAAAGCCUAAAGUGGCCUCUAUGAUGAUUGUACCUUAGCGGCUGGUUCCUUUGGCUUCUUCUCCACCUUCUUUGGUGGCACAACUACUUCAGCGUGUUUGGUCUGUUGUGGCUGCUUAAGCUUGAUCACAAGGUUUUUCUUGGGAACCGCCUUUUGAGCUUCUUGGUUCUUGUUUCUUGGAGCAAGAGGGUGUGGCUUCUUUUCGCAAUUGAUUGGCUUCUGGGCGUUGGCUAGCAGCUGAGCGCGGAAGCUUCGGGUGAUGGGACGGUUGAUCGGAGGCUGAGGCUUCCCUCCUUGAGCCACGGGAACGGAAACAAGGUUGUUUCCGAUGUCACCGAGCGGGCGGCGAUUCUUCACGGCGCCGUUCUUGUUAACACCUGAGAAGAAGAAACACAUAUGUUGAUAAUCUGAUCUUCGAUUCAUAACCACAAUCAAAUCAAUUCAGAUAUUUUCAAAACCCCGAUCGGAUCUAAAUCAAACGAAACCCAGAUUCGAUUUAAACUGCGAUGAAUUUCAAUUUCAACUUCAAUUUCAAAUCAAACAAACACAGAUUAAAACUCAGAUCGAUCGAAAUCAACGAAAAACAAAAAGACGGCGAAUAACAAUACCUCUGACUUGUUCAGGCAUGUUGGUUCUCGUCGCCAUUCUUGAUCUUUGGACUUGAUUUUCUCUCUUGGUGAAGAAGAGUUUGUGAGAACUGAGAGAUUCUGAUGGGAGAGAGCGUCUUCUUAUGAAGGAGGAGCCAACGGCUCGCUUCCAACGGUCAUAUUUUUGGUCAUCUUUUAUUUCUCGCCGUUGGAUCAUUAGGUUUUUAGAUCUGACGGUUGAUAAACAAUCAACGAUACUGUAAUGCGCUGGCACCGGGCCGUUGGGCUGUGUUAUUAAAAAGCCCAUUUCAAGGCCCAAAGAAUGUAUAUGAACCCUAACUAACCAGAGAGUCGUAUCGUCUUCUAUAAUCGCUUAAACCCUAACCGCCACCAUCUUCCCCUUCCUCUUCCCUUUUCAAUUUUCAAGUUUCUUGCUGCAACAAUGGAGGAUGAGCUUAGAGUUCGACUCAACGAUCACCAACCAUCGAAGAUCUUCCCAGUGAAGCCCAAAUCAACUCCCAGACCCCUCUCCAAACCCGAAACCCCCGAUUCUCGAUACUGGUCCUCCUUCAAACCCCACUCAAUCCCCAACCUCGUAUCCUCCGUCUCCGCCGUCGCCUUCUCUCCGAUCCACCCCCACUCCUUCGCCGUCGCGCACUCCACCACCGUCUCCCUCUUCUCCUCCAACACUCUCACCGCCUCCCGCCGUUUCUCCAUCAAAGACGUCGUCUCCUCCGUCUCCUUCCGCUCAGACGGAGCCCUCCUCGCCGCCUCCGAUCUCUCCGGGACUGUCCAGGUCUUCGACGUCAAGGAGCGGAUGGCUCUCCGCAGCCUCCGCUCCCACAAGGCGGCGGCGAGGUUCGUGAAGUACCCCGUCCACGACAAGCUCCACCUGGUGUCGGGAGGAGACGACGGAGUCGUCAAGUACUGGGACGUCGCCGGGGGCACGGUUAUCUCCGAUCUAAUCGGACAUAAAGAUUACGUUCGGUGCGGAGACUGCUCUCCGGUGAACGAUUCGAUGUUCGCUACGGGGGCUUACGAUCAUACCAUCAAGGUGUGGGACGCGAGAGUGGGGAAUUCGAAAUGGAUAGCUGAGAUCAACCACGGGGCACCUGUGGAGGAUAUUGUGUAUUUGCCGUCUGGUGGUAUGAUCGCGACGGCUGGAUUGAACAGCGUGAAAGUGUGGGACUUGAUCGGAGGAGGGAGGAUGGUUUGUUCCAUGGAGAGUCAUAACAAGACGGUGACGUGUCUCUCCGUGGGGAGGAUGGGGUUGGAAGGGGAGAAUAGGCUUGUGAGCGUUGCGUUAGACGGUUACAUGAAGGUGUUUGAUUACGGGAGGGGGAAGGUUACUUACUCCAUGAGGUUUCCAGCUCCUUUAAUGUCCGUUGGGCUCUCUCCGGAUAGUUCGGUUCGUGUUGUUGGAGGUUCUAACGGUAUGGUGUUUGCUGGGAAGAAGAAGAAGAAGGUGAGAGAUGAGGAGGAGAAGAAGAAAGCUAGCGUGAUGACGAGUUUUUGGAGUUUUAAGAGCGAAGUGGAUGAGAGUAGGAGAAGGGCGUUGAGGCCGAGUUACUUCAGGUAUUUCCAGAGAGGGCAGAGCGAGAAGCCGUCGAAAGAUGAUUACUUGGUGAAGGAGAGGAAAGGAGUGAAGCUGACGAGGCACGAUAAGCUGUUGAAGAAGUUCAGGCAUAAGGAGGCUUUGGUCUCUGUUUUGGAGGAGAAGAAGCCAGCCGACGUGGUGGCGGUGAUGGAGGAGUUGGUGGCGAGGAGGAAGAUUGUCAAGUGCGUGUCGAAUUUGGAGGAAGGUGAGUUGGGAUUGCUGCUCAGUUUCUUGCAGAGGUACUGUACCGUGGAGAGGUAUUCGAAACUGUUGAUGGCGUUGACGAAGAAGGUUUUGGAGACUAGAGGUGAGGAUAUUAACGGUAAAGAGGAGUUUAAAGGGAUUCUGAGGAACCUGAAGAGGGAGGUGAAUCAGGAGAUUAAGAUUCAACAGUCUCUGUUGGAGAUUCAGGGUGUUAUUGCUCCUUUGAUGAGAAUUGCUGGGAGAUGAUUAAUCAAAUGUAAGCUUUUUGGAUGCUUUGUUUUAUUGUAAUGCUAUUAUUCUAGAUUAUAUUUCAAGUUUUGUUUUAUUUCAAUUGCUG
rnacentral:lncRNA from 1 species